AUAAAAUGUCUUCUUUGAACGCGACCCAAUAGAUGUGGUCGCGUCUAUUCUGUGGUAUGGUGGUGCCGCGCCGUCGCCUUGUUAGUUGACCCUGGACUUGACUUGAUGUCUCGUUUAUAGUGCUCUCUGUAAUUAAAUGUUUAAUGGUUUGCAGUAAACAGCAUAUGGGUGGUCACAAUCGUUUGUACUUGGUCCAAGGUUACAUACAAGCUGACUACAAUCGCAAAAGAAUGCGGCGGAGAUAAUCCAGUCCGGUUCACACCAGCCUGAACUACUUCAACCCUCCAGGUCGUUUUAAUACGAGCCGGUUUUCACCAACCAAUAUUAAAACCACCGAUUUCUGCAGAACCUUGUAAACAAAAAUAGAAACGAGAAGUGACGUUUGGGAGCUUAGUACAAUCGUGAAGCGAAUGAGGAUCAGUCCGUCUCCUCUGGUGAAUUCGCCUUUUAUUUCCACCUAGACCUGGAGGUGGAAUUGGAAGGGCUGCCUGCGUACAUAGAAUGUGCGGUAACUGAUAUGGGGAUUAAACACUAGCACCACCUGUUGGUCCCUUACAACU